UAACAUAAACCAGGGCCUAGUCUUCUCCUC
rnacentral:piRNA from 1 species